rnacentral:rRNA from 1 species
GACGUAGGGUGCAAGCGUUGUCCGGAUUUAUUGGGCGUAAAGAGCUCGUAGGCGGCUCGUCGCGUCGACCGUGAAAACCUAGGGCUUAACCCUGGGCGUGCGAUGGAUACUGCCGGGCUAGAGGGUGGUAGAGGCGAGUGGAAUUCCCGGUGUAGCGGUGAAAUGCGCAGAUAUCGGGAGGAACACCGGUGGCGAAGGCGGCGACCUGGGUCGAGACUGACGCUGAGGCGCGAAAGCGUGGGGAGCAAACAGG